rnacentral:lncRNA from 1 species
GCUUGCUACAGUUUUAUGGAUGUAGCAGAAGGCAUAAAACUCCUGGGUCAGAGUAAAUGGACAGUAUUUCUCAUGGCACAUUAAGCAUCAUAAACCCUGGUACAUCUACGUUGGUUCCCUUUGCUCCCAAGUUCCAAGAGGAUAAUGGAAAGAGCUCAAAUGCCUUGUGUAUGUUCAGAGAAGUAUGUGGCAAGAGAGAAACAUGAGCUUGGAAAUCCACUGCUUUUAUAGCAAGCAGUAGGCAAGCCUAACCUUUAUUCCAGAGACAGACACUUCCUCUUCAUGCAAGCUGGUCUGUUUGCAGCAAACAAAACAAAACUCCAGGUAAGCAGUGGUCAGAGUCUUGCAUUCUCAACAUAGCUAGCAGGAUGUGUAGAAGAAAAGGAAUCCAUAAAGAACUGGCUCCCAAUAGACUUUUUGUAUCAGGUUGAAUGAUAUGAAGUUACUGUUUUUGUAGCUCAAAAGGGUUUUACGAACUGGUGACUUUUAUAUGGUUCAACUUAAUAUUAUCUCAGUGCUAAUAAAAUAUUUCUACAAUGCCUUUUUUCUUUUUCUAGAAAGUUUUAUAAGACUGUGUUUUCUGUUACAAUUUCUUUCUUUCCACCAAACUCUGUCAGUACUUUUUUUCCAUAACUAGUCUUACAAAAGAUCUAGGUCUUCCUGACCUAUAGAUGAAUUAAGAAUUUAAAAUGAUGCAAAAUGAGAAAUUCAGAUGUUGUUCAUGCUUCUAAUUUUUCCUAAAGUGGAGUCAAAACAAGUUAUAGGUUUUUUUCUACUAUGUAUGACUAAGUUCUAUUUUCCUUUAUUUUGUGUAUAUAAUUUGAAUCUCUCAAAUUUAUUAUGGCACUAAGAGAAGCCCAC